ACUAGCUAACUGAAAUCACAAAAUCACAAAUAGUGCUUAUUGUGAUAACGUAAGGGAAAAAAUUGAUAUUACCUUACUAUGAGUGUUGUCUAAAUAACUGGUGCCAGAAGACUCGGUAACACCAGAAACGCGAACGUUAGUCGUCUUAAACAGGCGUAAAGGGUAAGUAGGCUGCUUUAAAUAUCUAAAUUAAUCUAAGCUAAUUAAUAAUUUUCUAUUAGUUGCUUCCUAAGCAACAAAAAAUCUCAAAUUAAAUAUAUAAAUUAUAAAUAACACACUUAAAAUUGAAAUUACUUGUUUUGCUAAUAGAAGCUAGUUACUUAUAACAGCUAAUAUUAUAAUUAUUCUUUUCUAUUAAAUUAGAAUCACUUAAAGCUAGAAUCAUAAUUGAGAUAAACCAAAUAAUACUUAAGUGUAAGGGCGAUAUCUGAAAAUACUAAGUAGAAUACUAACGGUGAAAACUUUUUAUCUAGGAAUGAUUGACGCUGAGGUACGAAAGUGAGAACAGGGAAUAGGAUUAGAUACCCAGUUACCUCUCACCGUCAACGAUGAAUGGUAGUUGUUAAUUUACUAAAAAAAGUGACGAUGUUAACGCGAUAACCAUUCCGCCUUGAGAGUACGGUUGCAAAACUGAAACCAAAAAAAUUAGUCGGUCUCGGAGCAAACGAGUGAAGAUGU
rnacentral:rRNA from 1 species